rnacentral:lncRNA from 1 species
CAGUUGACCAAAUGAAGUCUUUUGUUCAAGGGUGGUAAGGUUUUGGUUUACUGCUUUCUGCAAGCAUUUCUCCUUUUUAGCAGUGAACCCUCUUAAGUUAGUUUUCUUGGAAACUAGGUUCCAAUCAAGUAGUGGUUUGUUCAAACCAUUGUUCGUGGCCAAACCUUAGAUAAAGAAAUUCACUUAUUUACUACAGAGAAGAAGUUACAUGAAGUUAACUUAGAGAAGAAGUUACACUAAUCCUAAUGUGUUUAGGAAAGUUAGUUCCUAAAGAAAUAUGGAAACAUUAAUCUGUAUAUAAAGUAUAUGCAAGAGUGUUGCAUAACAUAAGAGUUUUAGAGAUUGUGAUUGAGCACUUAAGUUUUGAGGAAAUUUUUUAAGAUAAUAAAGAAGCGUUUUUUUAUAUUGAGU